rnacentral:rRNA from 1 species
AUUGAACGCUGGCGGAAUGCUUUACACAUGCAAGUCGAACGGCAGCACGGGAGCAAUCCUGGUGGCGAGUGGCGAACGGGUGAGUAAAGUAUCGGAACGUGCCCAGUCGUGGGGGAUAACGUAGCGAAAGCUACGCUAAUACCGCAUACGAUCUAUGGAUGAACGCGGGGGAUCGCAAGACCUCGCGCGAUUGGAGCGGCCGAUAUCAGAUUAGGUAGUUGGUGGGGUAAAGGCUCACCAAGCCGACGAUCUGUAGCUGGUCUGAGAGGACGACCAGCCACACUGGGACUGAGACACGGCCCAGACUCCUACGGGAGGCAGCAGUGGGGAAUUUUGGACAAUGGGCGAAAGCCUGAUCCAGCCAUGCCGCGUGCAGGAUGAAGGCCUUCGGGUUGUAAACUGCUUUUGUACGGAACGAAAAGGUUUGGCCUAAUAAGCUGAGCUCAUGACGGUACCGUAAGAAUAAGCACCGGCUAACUACGUGCCAGCAGCCGCCGUAA